rnacentral:tRNA from 1 species
CAAGGGUUAUUUUAAUAAAAUAUAAGUUUUGGAUACUUAAGUUAAGAAUUACUUCUUAUCCUUGA